UACGGAGGGUGCAAGCGUUGUCCGGAUUUAUUGGGUUUAAAGGGUGCGUAGGCGGAUUAUUAAGUCAGUGGUGAAAGUUUGCGGCUCAACCGUAAAAGUGCCAUUGAAACUGGUAGUCUUGAGUACAGUAGAGGUAGGCGGAAUUUAUGGUGUAGCGGUGAAAUGCAUAGAUACCAUAAAGAACACCGAUAGCGAAGGCAGCUUACUAUACUGUAACUGACGCUGAGGCACGAAAGCGUGGGGAGCGAACAGGAUUAGAUACCCCCGUA
rnacentral:rRNA from 1 species